rnacentral:rRNA from 1 species
GCAUAUCAAUAAGCGGAGGAAAAGAAAAUAACAAUGAUUUCCCUAGUAACGGCGAAGUGAAGAAGGAAAGAGCUCAAAGUUGGAACCUGUUUGGCUUAGCUAAACCGGAUUGUAAACUGUAGAAGUGUUUUCCUGACACGCCAGAUAAAUAAGUCCUUUGGAACAGGGCAUCAUAGAGGGUGAGAAUCCCGUCUUUGGUCUGAGCUGUUGUCUUUUGUGAUACACUUUCAAAGAGUCAGGUUGUUUGGGAAUGCAGCCUAAAUUGGGUGGUAAAUCUCACCUAAAGCUAAAUAUUUGCGAGAGACCGAUAGCGAACAAGUACCGUGAGGGAAAGAUGAAAAGAACUUUGAAAAGAGAGUUAAACAGUAUGUGAAAUUGUUAAAAGGGAACCGUUUGGAGCCAGACUGGCUUGGCUGUAAUCAAUCUAGAUCCUUCUGGAUGCACUUGCAGUCUAUGCCUGCCAACGACAAUUUUUUCUAAAGGAAAAAACCAAGAGGAAUGUGGCCCUUCGGGGUGUUAUAGCCUUUUGGAAAAUACUUUGGAUUGGAUUGAGGAACGCAGCGAAUGCCUUUAGGCGAGAUUGCUGGGCGCUUUUACUAAUAGAUGCUAGAAUUUCUGCUUCGGGUGGUGCUAGUGUUUAAAGGUGAAACUCGUUUAGUAUAUUUUUCAUUCGCUUAGGUUGUUGGCUUAAUGACUCUAAAUGACCCGUCUUGAAACACGGACCAAGGAGUCCACCAUAAGUGCAAGUAUUUGGGUGCCAAACCCAUAUGCGCAAGGAAACUGAUUGAUACGAAGUCUCACGAUGGCAGUAUCACCCGGCGUUGACGUUUUAUACUGAACUGACCGAGGUUAAGCACUUAUGAUGGGACCCGAAAGAUGGUGAACUAUGCCUGAAUAGGGUGAAGCCGGAGGAAACUCCGGUGGAGGCUCGUAGCGAUUCUGACGUGCAAAUCGAUCGUCAAAUUUGGGUAUAGGGGCGAAAGACUAAUCGAA